CUCCUGCACCCCGCUUACUCCAUCUUCCAUAGAGCAGGCGGGACACACGGAGGAAGGGAGGGAGGGAGCUGCUGCCUUAGGCAGCAGCUGCAGCUGUGGUCCGGUCUCAGCUUGCUGAUCUAAUUGACAAGGUAGUGUACUUCUGACCCCACUCUUCAUACUUAAAGGGGAAAUGUGCAUCUCUUUCUCUCAAACACACACAGGGUGUGUGUCUCUGUCUGCCCUCCCUUCUUUCCUGCUGCCUUGUAGAGUGUGAGAGUUAAUUCUUGAGGGCUCAGCCAAUUGCUAGUUCAUCGUUUAGCAGUAAGGCAUUCCCUGGGAAAUAUCCCAGCUCCUGGGAAGCAGCAACCCUAGCUCCAUGUGCUGCCUCCGCUCCACCCCAAGCCCCGGUUCUGCCACUCCGAUUGGCUGAGAACCGCAGCCAGUGGGAGCUGCGGGGAUGGUGCCUGCAGGAAGAGGCAGCACAUGGAGGUAGGAGCUGCGGGAGGGGAGUUGCUGUUGCCCUUCGUGGAGCCCUCUCCCAAAGUAAGCAUCGCCCUGCAACCGAGGCUGGAGCCCCCCCAUACCCAGGCUCUCCUGGCGAGCCUUACCCCCCUGCACUCAGAACCUCCCAAUGCGUCCCACUCCCCCGGCACCUGGACCACCCAGAUGAGCCACGCUCACCUGGAUUCCCACCCCACCAAGCCCCAACCAGUUGCACCUGGAUCCCCACUCCACUGAGUCCCACGCCCCCAGCAUCUUGACCCCCCACUGAGCCUCCCACACCCAGACCCCGCUGCUGAGCUCUGUCCCCUCCCAUGCUGAGCCCCAACCACCUUCACCUGGACCCCCCUGCAGAGUCCCAUUGCUGUUGCACCCAAAACCUCCCAACAAGUCCCUGUGCAUUCAGAUCCCCCCACUAAGGCGCCCGCGCCCAGAUUGCCCCACAUGGAACUCUCCUAACCCAUCCCUGGAUCCCCCCACACUCAGCCUUUCCAAACUUAGAUCCUGCCUUGCUGAGCCUGCCUGCUCACACCUGGUGCACCUGGCAUAGAGGGGCAGGGCCCUGGGGUAUUUCUGAGGCAGGCCUGGGUGCAGAGUCCAUGUCCCAGGGGGAAGCUACAGAGUGAUCUCCCACCUCUGUGCAGCCAGUGGCCUGUGCUCCACAAUGCCAUGCUGGAGCCUCCACAUUUAUUUCACAAAUAAAAUUUGCAGAAUUUUAAAAUAUUGUGCACAGAAUUUUAUUUUUUUUGGCACAUCAUGCCCUCAAGAAUAGACCCGAGACUGCUCCAGCAGCGACUGGUGCACCUGUCCCAGGGGCUGCCCAAGCUGCUCAGGUGGCCCCUGGGCCAGGUGCACCAGCCACUGCAGAAGUCACAGAGGUCAUGGAAAACCAUGGAAUCUGUGACAAAAAUGGAGCCUUAAUUAUGAUACAUUCUUGAAUUACAUGAUCACAUACUGUUUUUUUUUUCCACAAGACCCCCUCCCUUAUUCAUGGGAUGGAUAGUGCUCAUUGACUGUAUGGACCCGUGCUUGCUUUAUGCACACCAUUGGAAACUUGCUCUGAAAACAGAAUUAUUAAUUUCCUCAAACUUUUCUAUGGAGGUCAUUAUAAUUGUAUCUGAGUGCCACGCAAACAUUAAUGGAUUAUUUUCACAACUCCACCAAGUCCCCUCCAUCCCCUGACCAGCUCCAAAUCCCAGUAGCGUUCUCUUCACUGCUCGGUCACCCAAUCUGUUCCCCUCCCCUCCGCCCCCUUCUUCCACACUGCUUGGGUACUAGCUAGGGGAGAAUUGUCUGUCCUGUGCUUUCAUUCUUCCUUCUCUCAGCUCUACUGGUACAGUGGCCCAUAGCAAUAAUUGAAGGGAAAGUCCCACUCAGCCCCUGCAUCCCUGGGAUGGAGCGUUCCCAAUGCAGUCAGACUCUUCCCUGCAGAACUUUAAUAAGUCUCUACUAAUCACAUGCAAACUGCAGGGGGUUUUUUACAGCCAAAUUUGGGUGUUUUUUGCGCAGAACAGGAAAAGGACAUCCCUGGCAUAAAGCAACCCUCCCUGAAAAAUUUCAAGCCCUUGCUCCAAAGCAUGGAGGUGUCAUGUAUUUGCCCCGGGGUGGUCCACCAAGGGCACCCGCUUUAGCUUUCUGCUUCCUAACAGUGGCUCACUCCCACCUGACCAGGGAUUUCAAGGUUACAAGUUCAUCUGUCUUAAAUCUAGAACCAGAACAGAACCUGGGCAGAUGAGAAAUUUCUCUGUACAGUUCAGGCCUUUGAUCUUGGCAUUGGCGCAAUAAGAAAUCAGCGGACAAUAACUCUCUCCUCAGGGCGUAGCUUCAAAAGGCUGGGCUUUUGCAUAACAAGAGUUGGGGAAUUUGCAUUAACAGCUCCCUAAGUGGAUUUCCUGGUGUGUGACACUUAGGGUGUGUCUACACUACAAUGUGAGCUUGGGCUGAAACUCAGUCUCAAGCUCAAACCCUGCUUCCAUCUAUGCAGAAAUCUAUCUGUCUCAAGUCAGUAAGCCCGCUGGACUCGGGUCAUAGGACCUGGCAAGGGGAGUGGAUCCGAUCCCAAGUCCCUAUGGGACUCCAGUCAUUCAGGUCUACUGUGCAUCGUUUUGCAGUGUGGACACAGCUGCGGCCCAGGUCCCCAGACUAGUGUUCUGACAGUCUGCCAGUGCUGUCCCACAAUCCCAUGGGCCAGCGUAUCUAUCCUUUCCAUCUCAAGACUAGUCAAUUGACUCCCAGGAAACAACAAGCAACUUCCUGAUUCAAGUGUGGCUGUUUGGCAUUUAACCCUUCUAUUUGAGCUGCAAGCUUAGAGUAAAAUUUUACUAUCUUGUAUUAGCUAUGGCCACCAACAAGACGUCCUUUACCAAGAUCGCUGCUACCAAGUCAUGGGACCACAGUCCAUUCUGGCCUCUUCACCUCAGCAGCUCAGCCACACUGCACCAGGAGCUUCGGGUUUUGAACUGUCACAGACUAAGUGCUCAGUGGUGAGUUUAUGGUGGACAUCCUUGACAGAGGCAACAAACAGGUGCAGUAUCAAAGGGAAAAAGAUUCAUGGCAAGUGGAAAAGCAUAGACAGGCAGCAGAGCACAAGAAGAGACUUGCAACACGGUUUCUGGAGCAGGAAUGUUGCCUAAGGAACAAAGAUGGAGCACAACAGAAAGACCUGUUUGAGAGACUGCUUACGCUAAUGGCCACAGGAUUUCAGGCUCCUGCUCUACUGACACCAUGUCCUGAGUCUUCUCCAUGGUACCAUGUCCUGCAGACCAAGAAUACAUUGGACAAUACCACAGUUGGGUGGCCUGUGCAACUGGGACUGAAUGCUAACUGGACAGGGCAAAUGUACCCCCCUGCAGCGGCACCAAAUGUGUGCUAAAUGUGCUAGAAAGGGAAAGAGAAUAGGGGCCAGCAGACAUGCAAAAGUAGAGAAUUUGUUCGCUUGCAUUGGUUUCUCUGUUUUGCACUGUUCAGUGUUUGUUAUGCACUUUAUUACUGGUUUUGGUGUUGGUUUAUUACUGGAGUUUUGGCAUCACGAUGGCAGCUGGCUUGCCAAACAAUGCUUGAAUAUUGUUUUUCAUAAUAAGGGUAUGUUCACAAAUAAAGGCUUUUAUUUUAUUUAAAAA